UGGGGAAUAUUGCACAAUGGGCGCAAGCCUGAUGCAGCCAUGCCGCGUGUAUGAAGAAGGCCUUCGGGUUGUAAAGUACUUUCAGCGGGGAGGAAGGCGAUGAGGUUAAUAACCCUGUCGAUUGACGUUACCCGCAGAAGGAGCACCGGCUAACUCCGUGCCAGCAGCCGCGGUAAUACGAAGGGUGCAAGCGUUAAUCGGAAUUACUGGGCGUAAAGCGCACGCAGGCGGUCUGUUAAGUCAGAUGUGAAAUCCCCGGGCUUAACCUGGGAACUGCAUUUGAAACUGGCAGGCUUGAGUCUUGUAGAGGGGGGCUAGAAUUCCCUUGUAGCGGUGAAAUGGCGUAGAGAUCUGGAGGAAUACCGGUGGCGAAGGC
rnacentral:rRNA from 1 species